UAUGUUAAGAAAACCCUCGAC
rnacentral:piRNA from 1 species